CAGUCGCCACGGUAAUACGGAGGGCGCGAGCGUUACCCGGAUUUACUGGGCGUAAAGGGCGUGUAGGCGGCCUGGGGCGUCCCAUGUGAAAGGCCACGGCUCAACCGUGGAGGAGCGUGGGAUACGCUCAGGCUAGAGGGUGGGAGAGGGUGGUGGAAUUCCCGGAGUAGCGGUGAAAUGCGCAGAUACCGGGAGGAACGCCGAUGGCGAAGGCAGCCACCUGGUCCACUUCUGACGCUGAGGCGCGAAAGCGUGGGGAGCAAACCGGAUUAGAUACCCGUGUAGUCCCUGUCUCUUAUAC
rnacentral:rRNA from 1 species